ensembl:lncRNA
GCCAGUCCUCUUCUGGCUGUGCCGGGUGGAGAUUAUAACAGAACAUGGCCAAGAUGUUCAAAUGUUCAUAAAUGACCAGCAUGGUCAAAUAAUAAUAAGGCAGAACAGUUGAAACUGGAGCAGCAGCACGGCCAGGUGGACUGGGGACAGCAAGGAGUCAUCAUGUCAGGUAGUCCUGGGGCAUGGUCCUAGGGCUUAGGUCCUCCGAGAGAGAGAAAGAGAGAAUUAGAGAACGCACACUUAGAUUCACACAGGACACCGAAUAGGACAGGAGAGGUACUCUAUUUUGAGCAUUAUCUACAACCUGUGUUAAGGUGUCCUCUUUAGCCUUGUCUACAGCCUGUGUUAAGGUGUCCUCUUUAGCCUUGUCUACAACCUGUGUUAAGGUGUCCUCUAUAGCCUUGUCUACAACCUGUGUUAAGGUGUCCUCUUUAGCCUUGUCUACAACCUGUGUUAAGGUGUCCUCUUUAGCCUUGUCUACAACCUGUGUUAAGGUGUCCUCUUCAGCCUUGUCUACAACCUGUGUUAAGGUGUCCUCUUUAGCCUUGUCUACAACCUGUGUUAAGGUGUCCUCUACAGCCUGUGUUAAGGUGUCCUCUUUAGCCUUGUCUACAACCUGUGUUAAGGUGUCCUCUUUAGCCUUGUCUACAGCCUGUGUUAAGGUGUCCUCUUCAGCCUUGUCUACAACCUGUGUUAAGGUGUCCUCUUUAGCCUUGUCUACAACCUGUGUUAAGGUGUCCUCUACAGCCUGUGUUAAGGUGUCCUCUUUAGCCUUGUCUACAACCUGUGUUAAGGUGUCCUCUUUAGCCUUGUCUACAGCCUGUGUUAAGGUGUCCUCUUUAGCCUUGUCUACAAUGCUUGCUGCCGCUACAUGGCGCUAGGUUUGGGCAUGUUCAAAAACCUUUUUUUCUGACCG